rnacentral:rRNA from 1 species
UGGGGAAUAUUGGACAAUGGGCGCAAGCCUGAUCCAGCGACGCCGCGUGUGUGAAGAAGGCCUGCGGGUUGUAAAGCACUUUCGAUGGGAACGAAAUGUGCCGGGUUAAUACCCCGGUAAGCUGACGUUACUCAAUGAAGAAGCACCGGCUAACUCUGUGCCAGCAGCCGCGGUAAUACAGAGGGUGCGAGCGUUAAUCGGAAUUACUGGGCGUAAAGCGCACGUAGGUGGCGACGUAAGUCGGGUGUGAAAGCCCCGGGCUCAACCUGGGAAUUGCAUUCGAGACUGCAUUGCUGGAGUACGGAAGAGGAGGGCGGAAUUCCCGGUGUAGCGGUGAAAUGCGUAGAUAUUUGGAGGAAUACCGGUGGCGAAGGCGGCAUCCUGGACCAUUACUGACGCUGAGGCGCGAAAGCUAGGGGAGCAAACGGGAUUAGAUACCCGCGUAGUCCCUGAGCGGGCUGGCAAGGCGCAU